UACGAAGGGGGCUAGCGUUGCUCGGAUUUACUGGGCGUAAAGGGCGCGUAGGCGGACAGUUAAGUCGGGGGUGAAAGCCCGGGGCUCAACCUCGGAAUUGCCUUCGAUACUGGCUGUCUUGAGUACGGGAGAGGUGUGUGGAACUCCGAGUGUAGAGGUGAAAUUCGUAGAUAUCAGGAGGAACACCGGUGGCGAAGGCGGCUUCCUGG
rnacentral:rRNA from 1 species